AUUGAACGCUGGCGGCAGGCCUAACACAUGCAAGUCGAGCGAGCGGCGGACGGGUGUGUAAUGUAUGGGGACUGCCCGAUGGCGGGGGAUAAUUCCUGGAAACGGUGGCUAAUACCGCAUACUAUCGGAUAACCCAUAUGGGAUUAGCUAGUAGGUGGGGUAAAGGCUCACCUAGGCGACGAUCUAUAGCUGGUCUGAGAGGGUGAUAAGCCACACUGGAACUGAGACACGGCCCAGACUCCUACGGAGGCAGCAGUGGGGAAUAUUGCACAAUGGGCGCAAGCCUGAUGCAGCCAUGCCGCGUGUAUGAGGAAGGCCUUAGGGUUGUAAAAUACUUUCGGCGGAGAGGCGUUACCCGCAGAGGAAGCACCGGCUAACUCCGUGCCAGCAGCCGCGGUAAUAC
rnacentral:rRNA from 1 species